GACAGAGGUGCCGAGCGUUAGGCGGAAUCACUGGGCUUAAAGCGUGUGUAGGUGGAUGCCUAAGUACCUUGUGAAAUCCCACGGCUUAACCGUGGAACUGCUUGGUAUACUGGGUGUCUUGAGCCAGCUAGGGGCUACCGGAACAAAUGGUGGAGCGGUGAAAUGCGUAGAUAUCUGGAGGAACACCGGUGGCGAAGGCGGCAUCCUGGACCAUUAUUGACGCUGAGGAGCGAAAGCCAGGGGAGCAAACGGG
rnacentral:rRNA from 1 species